UGGGGAAUAUUGCACAAUGGGCGAAAGCCUGAUGCAGCGACGCCGCGUGAGGGAUGACGGCCUUCGGGUUGUAAACCUCUUUCAGCAGGGAAGAAGCCACAAGUGACGGUACCUGCAGAAGAAGCGCCGGCUAACUACGUGCCAGCAGCCGCGGUAAUACGUAGGGCGCAAGCGUUGUCCGGAAUUAUUGGGCGUAAAGAGCUCGUAGGCGGUUUGUCGCGUCUGCUGGGAAAGCCCGGGGCUUAACCCCGGGUGUGCAGUGGGUACGGGCAGACUAGAGGGCAGUAGGGGAGACUGGAAUUCCUGGUGUAGCGGUGGAAUGCGCAGAUAUCAGGAGGAACACCGAUGGCGAAGGCAGGUCUCUGGGCUGUUACUGACGCUGAGGAGCGAAAGCAUGGGGAGCGAACA
rnacentral:rRNA from 1 species